AUGACCUUUCAGGAUUGUCUGGUCCGGCGUUGUCCUCGGCUCUCACCCGCGGCGCCCUGAUGAAGACGGCAAAACAGAGAAGAGUUUCUGGUGUGGAACCAUAUCUGUGUUCAAGCGUGUCCAUGUUUGUGUGACGUAGCUGGAUGAGUCGCCCCCUGGUGGCCACUGAUGAAGACUACUGCUUUAGGAUGGGUUAAACUCCGCCCACACCUUUGUGCGACUUCCUGUGUCCCUGCCUCCCACUGUCUCGCCUACUCUCUGUACUAUAAUGUAAAAACAUGUUUAAUCAAAAGAAAACUGGUAAGACCAUAGAGAGGAACCUUUACUGGUGGUCUCAGACCUUUGACCUUUGACCUAUGUGAAUAAAAUCCGUCCAUCGCACCUGCAGCUGAACUUACCAUCAGCUCACUGUACAACGAAUGCCGUGCUGUUCUCACCUGAGCAGAUCACCUCAGUGGUGAAAUCUGAGAGGCCCUUCUUCACCGUUCCGCAGUCCAGGAGCGCUCGCUCAGAGCCGUCACAGUCCGAAUAAAAGUUCCAGACGCGCAGAACUGUGGGCCGGUGCCUGACGGUUGUUACUGAAACAGCAGAACCGCAGUCGAGCUGUCUGCACGCCACGCCGGCCUCCUUCAGGCUCCAGGUGCGCUGUUUGCUCAGCUGUCUCCACUCUGCCUCGUGCUUGAACCUCAGCUCGCCGGCA